AAAAGAUUGUAGAAGAGUGUGAUAUAAACCAACUACAUUAUUUACAGUCUGUAGUGAAAGAAACAAUGAGAUUACAUCCAGUUGGUCCUCUUCUUAUCCCGCACAGUCCCAGUGUGUCAACAACUAUAGCCGGCUACACCAUUCCUAAAGGCUCAAGUGUUUUUAUUAAUGUUUGGUCAAUAAUGAGAGAUCAUGAGACUUGGAAAAAUCCACUUAAAUUUCAACCUGAGAGAUUCUUUGAACAUCCAGAAAUUGGUGAUUACAGAGGAAAUAAUUUCAAUUAUCUACCUUUUGGAUCAGGGAGGAGAAUAUGCGCCGGGAUUAAUUUAGCAGAGAAGAUGGUAAUGAAUGUGUUAGCCACUCUCUUACAUUCUUU
rnacentral:lncRNA from 1 species